CCCCACACCCACUCAGGCGCUAAAUUUUUGAUGAGGCACGUGACCAGCCGCAGCCAGGGUCUUUCCCAAAGAAAGAUCCUGGGUACGAGGUUGGCUCCGCCCACCCAUAUCCCUGGUAAAUUGUAGAUGUGAAUCGAAUGUGUUAAGAGCCUGGAAAAAUGCAUUAAAGCGUUCAACGGAACCACGCCAAAGUACAAUGGUAUCGUCACGGAAGCGAAACCAGCACCUAAGUUCCGGAUAAAUAGUCCGUGAUGCUAAAACUUUUUGAUCUAUGUUUUCAGCAACAAUGUCAGCAUAUGAGCAAGAGUUUUUGGGGCCCAUAGCCGUACCAUUUUCCUGCAACCUAUAUUGCCCACGAAAAGUGGAACAAUUUCUCUUGAGACAAAUUUCCAAGGCUUCCACAACACAUUCAACCGGCACGUCAAGUUUAUCAGCAUAUUGAGUAAGUUUGUAUCUAACCCUUUCAACCCCCGACUGGUUAUCUAUAGACGGAAACAUGUUAGUAAUGUCGAAACUAACCAACAAGUCACCAUCUUCUACCCCCUCCAAAUCAAGCUCAU